rnacentral:rRNA from 1 species
CUACGGGGGGCAGCAGUGGGGAAUAUUGGACAAUGGGGGAAACCCUGAUCCAGCAAUGCCGCGUGUGAAGAAGGCCUGCGGGUUGUAAAGCACUUUCGGUUGGGAGGACUGCUUCUAGCACUAAUAUUGUUGGAAGUUGACGUUACCUUCAGAAGAAGCACCGGCUAACUCCGUGCCAGCAGCCGCGGUAAUACGGAGGGUGGCAAGCGUUAAUCGGAAUUACAGGGCGUAAAGCGCGCGUAGGCGGCUAGAUCAGUCGGGUGUGAAAGCCCCGGGCUUAACCUGGGAACUGCAUCCGAUACUGUCUAGCUUGAGUACAGGAGAGGAGAGUGGAAUUCCACAUGUAGCGGUGAAAUGCGUAGAUAUGUGGAGGAACACCAAUGGCGAAGGCAGCUCUCUGGCCUGAUACUGACGCUGAGGUGCGAAAGCGUGGGGAGCAAACAGGAUUAGAUACCCUUGUAGUC